UGUUUGACCUCGGAUCAGGUAGGGAUACCCGCUGAACUUAAGCAUA
rnacentral:rRNA from 1 species